CCCCUCUCAGAAUCGCCCCAGGAGAGUUUCACCCUCUACCAGUCUCGGCUAUGAGAGGGAGAGUCAAGCGGAGGCCUGCCCAUUCCAUUCCCAGCUUGGGCAGUGGCUAGCGAGUGGAAGACAAUCCGCUACAAGU